GAUGAACGCUAGCGAUAGGCCUAACACAUGCAAGUCGAGGGGCAUCACAUGAAGUAGCAAUACGGAUGGUGGCGACCGGCGCACGGGUGAGUAACACGUAUGCAACCUGCCUUCAACAAGGGGAUAACCCGUUGAAAGACGGACUAAUACCCUAUAAUACAGGGGUCCCGCAUGGGGAUAUUUGUUAAAGAUUGAUCGGUUGAAGAUGGGCAUGCGUUCCAUUAGCUGGUUGGUGAGGUAACGGCUCACCAAGGCAACGAUGGAUAGGGGAACUGAGAGGUUUAUCCCCCACACUGGUACUGAGACACGGACCAGACUCCUACGGGAGGCAGCAGUGAGGAAUAUUGGUCAAUGGACGCAAGUCUGAACCAGCCACGUCGCGUGAAGGAAGCGGCCCUACGGGUUGUAAACUUCUUUUGUAAGGGAAUAAAGUGUAGUACGCGUACUAUUUUGCAUGUACCUUACGAAUAAGGAUCGGCUAACUCCGUGCCAGCAGCCG
rnacentral:rRNA from 1 species